UACAGAGGGUGCGAGCGUUGUCCGGAAUCACUGGGCGUAAAGGGCGCGUAGGUGGCUCUUUAAGUCGGGGGUGAAAUCCUGGGGCUCAACCUCAGAAUUGCCUCCGAUACUGGCAGUCUCGAGUGCGGGAGAGGUGAGUGGAAUUCCCAGUGUAGAGGUGAAAUUCGUAGAUAUUGGGAAGAACACCAGUGGCGAAGGCGGCUCACUGGCCCGUAACUGACGCUGAGGUGCGAAAGCGUGGGGAGCAAACAGG
rnacentral:rRNA from 1 species